ensembl:snRNA U6 U6 spliceosomal RNA
AUGCUUGCUUAGGCAGUACAUAUACUGAAAUUGGAACAAUACAGAUAAGAUUAGCAUAGUCCCUGUGCAAGGAUCACAUGCAAAUUUGUGAAGCAUUCCGUAUUUUU